rnacentral:rRNA from 1 species
GAUGAACGCUGGCGGCGUGCCUAAUACAUGCAAGUCGAGCGAACAGACGAGGAGCUUGCUCCUCUGACGUUAGCGGCGGACGGGUGAGUAACACGUGUAUAACCUACCUAUAAGACUGGGAUAACUUCGGGAAACCGGAGCUAAUACCGGAUAAUAUAUUGAACCGCAUGGUUCAAUAGUGAAAGACGGUUUUGCUGUCACUUAUAGAUGGUUCCGCGCCGCAUUAGCUAGUUGGUAAGGUAACGGCUUACCAAGGCAACGAUGCGUAGCCGACCUGAGAGGGUGAUCGGCCACACUGGAACUGAGACACGGUCCAGACUCCUACGGGAGGCAGCAGUAGGGAAUCUUCCGCAGUGGGCGAAAGCAUGACGGAUCAACGCCGCGUGAGUGAUGAAGGUCUUCGGAGCGUAAAACUCUGUUAUUAGGGAAGAACAAAUGUGUAAGUAACUAUGCACGUAUUGACGGUACCUAAUAAGAAAGCCACGGCUAACUACGUG